rnacentral:misc_RNA from 1 species
GGCCCCUUCGGCGCAACAAAUGGAUACUGUGAGCAACAGAAUCCGAACAUGCACCGAAUGAAACAGAAUGACAACACAAGCUUUUACAAUUAAUACAGAGGUUCAAAAUAUUAAUCUCUACAAGUAAAACAGUAUUAUUUUUUCCUUUUCGUAUAGGCUUGGGAUUUAAAAUAUUAUAACUCUGCAUUCAAAGGCAUGGGCUUGGGUAUGAACAUCUCGUAGACUUAUAUCCAAGAAAGAUGUUAUUUAGUUGACAUUGAAGACAUACAGCUUUCAUGUACUUGGUAUA